ensembl:rRNA 5S_rRNA 5S ribosomal RNA
GCUUACGGCCAUACCACUCUGACAAAGCCCGAUCUCAUCUGACCUCGGAAGCAAAGCAAAGUUGGGCCUGGUUAGUACUUGCUUGGGAGACUGAAUCAGGAUACUAGGUGCUGUAAGCU